rnacentral:lncRNA from 1 species
CGUUUCUAAAAAUAGAUAAAUCAAUUAUUAAUGACCUUGACAUGUCGUUUGGACAAAUAUUUUUGUGGAACGAAACCCGUGUUUAAAACCAAUUACACAAUAAGUUCGUUUUCUUUAUUUGUCAACAGUCCGUAAGAUGCAUCUUCUCAUAGAAAUAGACUUGUCCAAAUGUGGACAGGUGGAAGUUCAGGACAUCAAGUUAAAGUACUGAAUAUUAACAGAUCAUUUAAAAUUUUCUUGUUUCAUAGAUAAUAAAAAAAUUUCGUCCAUUUGGAUAAAAACGGGAAUGCGUGACAACAGAUUAACCCGAUAUUCUCAUUUUUUCCAGUGGACGAGUCUAUUACGUUUUUGACGCGUGUGUUGAAAAUUAUUUUCUUACCACGCUUUUACAUUUAUUUCUUUAUCAGUUUUCGUUCUUGAAGAUCAUUAUUCACCAAGUUUUCUGGAAUUGAUUAAGAGCUAUGUGAAUUUGUCUUCCUUUAUGAAAUUUAAUUACGUCUUUGUCCGUGCACACCCUUUUUUACGGGAAAUUAUUAGGCAAUGUCAUGCAAUUUUUAUUACAACUGAGCAAUAAUAUUUCAUUAAACUAAAAUUUAAGAAAUGAUGACAAAAUAGGAUAACAAACAUAUUAUUAUAGAAAGGUGAAAUAUAUAUUUAUUUUGCAUAUCAGUUUUCUGUCUUGAAAGAUAUUUUUUUUUUUUUUUUUUCCCGACCGACCGACCCAACUUUUUCAUGGAGAAAAUCCGUAAACCAACAAAUUAAAAAACCGUGGCCAAA